CAGCCCAUCAUGAAGUGUGGAGUUUGCUCAACUACAUCUGUCGCUGCUGGCCAGGUAAGAGAGAGAGAGACACCGCUGAGGUCUGAGAAAACUCCUUGGGGCGGGAGGUCUCAAGGUGACAAAACUGAGGACCGGCUCGGGGACCUCCAAACUGCUGUUAAACACCUCGAAGCUCUUGGGGAAAUCCUUUCACAUGCAUUGACUUGCAUAUAACAGCGCCGUACACGUCUUCGUAUUACGUUACUUGACAAAAAUGGGGCUUGAACUCUGUUAAACGUGGCAUCCACCCAAAUUUAAGGUGCUGAAUAAUUCGCCCAUCAAUUUACGUCUGUCUGGGGGUGAGGUCUUUUCAGUCAACGACUUCCUUUGCUGUGGACUCGGAAUUUUAUGAGAACGAGCAACGGGAUGAAAUUAGCUCGACGUUAAAAAAAACAACCAACCCUUACGGGUUAACCCUCUGUUGACCGCCCGGGGUUGGGUUCGCAGCCCCGGCUUGGCCGGGCUCUGCCCGUACCCGCCACCAGAUGGUACCCGGGCUGUACAAAUCAUCUCCCUCAGCUCCCCCCGCCGCAUUCAACCACGAAAUCGACCUCAAAAAGCGGCUGGAAGUGAUGUUCGUUGCUCAGCUCGCCUGCCAGAGCCCACUAGGGAUCCUGCCCCCAGCCUUAGUGCCUUGCGUGCUCCAUCCCUCGGGUCGGACUGGCUCGCAGGUCCCCCCCUUCUUUAGGUGUGAUGGUAUUUUACUGUCCUCAAAAGUAGUGCUUCUGGCCGUUUCCACUGCGUCCUGCAAAAGCCAUCAUCUGCUGGGCACGCAUCUCACCCUCGCGAUGACCGUAGCCAUCGCGAGCAUGAAACGAGCCAGGCCCAGCCAAGCCUGGAUGUGCUCGGCGCUGUACAAAUGUCAAGGACCCGGGCUGAAUUCGGGAGCUAAUUCCCCACUCGAGUUGCAUUUCUACACAAAAAUCCUAAAAUACAUUUGUAGGUGCCCGUGGUUUUUUUAGGAGGAUGAUAAUAAUAAGCUAUGUCACAAAUCGACCAAUUUGGGCGACCUUGCAAGCACUCUUGCAAAAAUUAAAUCAGAAGACGACCUCUUUCCCAAACCAGGUGCCUGCAGGUUUGUUUUUGUUACAUGUCCCUUGCCAGAUCUCCCUGUGUCCAAAUACUAGAUCUGCUAGACAUUCAUUCCCACUCCAGCUCCCUGCCCCUGGGACAGAAAGGAUGGCAUUUCUCCCGGGAUGCAGCCGGGGAGCGCUGGAGCAGUGCUGCGAACGUACACCAGCCCUUCCCCGUGGGGACAUUUGAUGGAAUAAGCUUCUGGACUCAAGACUCAAGUAUUUUACGCCUCUAUAAGCUCUAAUGCAGGAGAGUGGUCGAUGAGUUGCCAGUGCUGCCAUGGGCACCAAGGGGGUGGUACGAGUGACACUGCUGCUGUGCUUUCUGAAAUGAAAGGUUUGUUAUCCUUGCUUUUUCAGUGUCUUCUAGCAGGCAUUUUCACCCCUGAAGCAAAGUAAAAACAAGACAACCCAAAACCAGGAGAGCGCUUGGCUCUCACCCGGGGUCUGCGAGAUGUUACUCGGGGCUGGAGAGCUUUGUGUCCAACAGCGAGUGAAUUUUAGGUGGUUUAGCCCUUACCCUGGAACCCUCACCAGCAGGCAUGCGGUGAGAGAUCAGUCCUUUGAUCUGUAUUACAUCUUCCAGAGCAAAAGUCACUCUGGAUAUACAGUCUUAUGAUUUCCCAAAUAUCUGUAGAAGUGCAAUCUAUGAGUGCCCUCCUAGCGCUUCCAAAUGUAGCAUGGUUGGAAACGGUGGCUUAGGGCUGAUCUCUCCCUGGCAUGGUAAUAGGGAAUAAAUAAUUAACACCAAUCUGUUAUUAACAAAUCUUUUCUUCCUGCAGGUUAUUUACACACCAUGAAUUUUACCUAUGGAAAACAACUCUCUGGUGGAUCUUCCUAGGGAUAAAUGCAACUGUCCAGAUAAUUCCAGCUCGUGAAACAGUUCUACUGUAUUUUAGCAGGCUUGCAUCUCAGUAUGUCAAACCAUUUGUGGCUUGGAAGGGUUGACCCUCCUUCAUCUUCAUCACAGAGAGCACUGAUGUCCUUCUCUGGACACGUGGAGGUUGUGUAUGGGUCACAGCUCUGCUCGGCUUAGGACCCCACCAUGGGUCUGUAAAUCAACCGCGACUACAUGAAUGCCGUGAAUCAGCUCUUCACUUCAAGGAGUGAAAAUAAAAUCCGGACCAAGCUCUGAAAGCCUUGCUUGAACCCUUUGCAAGUCACUUUCUAAAAUUAGAUUUAGACAUUUAGGUCAUUAUAAAGCAGAUGCUGCCACCAAAUUUGUUUGGAUGUAAAACUCACUGCGGCACUUUUGCCAGUAGAAACAAAUUAGAAAAUGCUGGCUAGCUCAUCAAAUCCUACUGAUUUAUUCAUUUCGAACUAAAGCAGUUGCAGAAAGUUCUUAAGUACUGCGUCUCUAUCCUUGGCAGAUACUCAUGAAAAAGGCAAUGAUUUUAAUUUUUACUGCAGGAAAUGGAACACAUCUGGGAUCAAGAAGUCUCUUUUAUGGUGGCCAUCACUUCAGGUGGGAGGGGAGGAGGAGGAAGAGGGGAGGAGGAAAUUAAUUUCCCAGAAAAGGCCACAAUAUAUUUAAAAAAAUAUAUAAACUAAAAUAUUGUUCAGAAUGGUUUCUCUUGGUUGAAGUGAACAUUAUCCGUUUUGUUCUCCCAGGAUAGCUUCUGGAUUUGAAGAUGGGUUUUUACAGUGCAGCUAGCAUUUCUGAUUUAACUAAUAUUCUUGCAACCAUGUAGAGAUACGAUUGUGUGGAAAUGAGAUUGCCUUUCUAUGCUCCACGCAAGCAGACAGAGGAAAGUGGAAGCUAUCAGUGACCUCUUCUCCCACAAAAGCCACCCAAUAUAUGCACAGUGUUGCCAAGCUGCAAUGUUUUCACAAGUCCCAUGAUUUUUAGUUGGGAGGAAGAAUGGGUUUAGAAGCCCCACACCCUGGAAGCAGCUAAAUUAGCAUGUACCACCCUAAAAUAUCUCGCAUCGCAGUAAGCCAGAGUUAAACAAGCAGAGCCCCUAAACUAUAAUUUACAAACAACAACAACAUUUUAAGCCAUCCCACCAUUUUGGGAGUCCGAAUGUCAGUGUGUACAACCAGCACACAAACAGCAUCUAACAUUUUCCUAUUUCUGCUUGGCUGCGACUGCUUUAAACAAUUACUUCAGAAGGAUUUGACGUCCAACUGGGCAUAUGCUGUGCUGCUUGUGGUGAGGAGACCAGAGCCCUGUUGACCAUCAGUGGACACGUCAGGGAUGAUCUCUUAAUUACCGGACCCGUUGAGGCUGUUCUAGCUGCAAGAGCUGUCCUGGGGUUUCCCUCCCACUCUUCAUCGGGAGUCGAGGUGAGGGGAUCUCUGCUCCCCGUUCUAAGGGACUGUCCUCAGCUCAAUCCACUCAAGGUGUUAGGGCUCUUUCGCUAAUUCAAAGCAGGCCCAUUUUUAGUCUUUUUCAUCUCGAAUGAGUCAUUUGGAGAAGAUGUAGCAGAUCUUACAAACCAUGACACUACUCAAACCCAACACAGGACUGCAGAGACUGAGGCUCUCGCAAGCUCCUGCGGGGGAAACGAGAUCUCAAUGGCAUUUCUGUCUCAGGUCUGAAGGAGCCCGGCCCCGUUCCUCUUCCUUCUCAGAAUACAAACAAUGUGUAGAACAGAAUAUAUAUUGCUACUGCGAGCUGGGGUUUUGUUCAUUGUUAAUGCCAUGAAAAAUACAGACUUUUCACACAGUUUUCUUUGUAAAGCCAACAGUUGGCUACAAGCAAAUGCUCUGUAAGGACAGGAUGCACAUUACAGGGAAGAAUGCUACUGGACUGGCCAAGUCAGGUCCGCAAAACCAGUGAAAUGACAUGAUUAAAACUUCCUGUGCAAUCUCAAUUCAGGGCCCUUUUGCAUAAGCCUUUUAAUAAAUAAUUAAAGAACCAUUUUUGUCACCACAUCCCUGUUUCAGAGUGGAAAAGCAUUCCAAAAAUGAGGUGUCUGCAUGUUCUGUCUUCUUGUUGCCUGCUGCAUCUUGCAAUAUGCUGUUUAAACACUUUCUUGAAAUCAUGAUACUUAAUGUCACCAUCAGGUUUAUGAUGGUUCUCAUCUCGGUCUUGCCCAGUGAACACUGCGGAUGUUUAUUAAUAAUGUACUUUCAUACCAAUUUGAGGCGUGAAGAUUCAACUCCUCUGAAUUCCCCCCCCCGGGGGAACAAGGGCAGAGGGAAAUGAACAUCCGAAGUGUCCACCUUCUCUGCUCAGCUGCUGCCUCCAGCUUGGGGUUCUUUCAGAGAAUUUAGAUGUAUGUAGUAUUUCAUUUAUUUGACACGCAACUUUAGCUGACCCCAGUUACAAUGAGUUAUUGACAGCUCUGGAGCUCUGAAUCAGAGUUCUCCAGAAAUUAAACCAUGAAUAACUGGUGACUGUGUGGGGAAUUGAUUAAGGGACCAGGUGUUAGAGGCAACCCAGCCUCUUUUCCUAAACAAGCCUGAUUCGUGCCUGGAACAGGUCCAUCCUCUGCAGGGAAACAGGCAGCUGUCACGUAGGAAAAAGAAAAAGUAGUAUCACAGAACUGCCGUUCAUUGGGCUGAUUUACGUGAGGCUGAUCUAAAGCUGAACAAGUUCCCUUUGGGGUAUUCUUAACUCAUUUUCAUAUUUUAAUGUGCCUUUGUGUAUGACUUCCCUUAUGUCUAGUUGUGAUAACCACACGAGGAGAGGUGAUGCUACCCGGAGGGACUGGGUCGUCUUUCACACGUGUACCGUUACCCACUGUCAGAG